AUGGGAUGGGAAAACAGCCCCAUUCCCAGAUCCCAGGCACAAGGCACAGGGAAUCUGUGGGAUGCAGCAGGACCUGGGGUCCCACUCCAGCUCAUCCCACUGCCUUUGGGGACCCCUGAAGUGCCCUGGUUUGGCACUUUGGGGGCUGUGUCCCCCCUCCAGGGAGGGAAUUUGGGAUCUCCAGGGCUGCCUGAUCCAACCCAGGAAUGUUGGAUCCCGUUGGAGCAUCCUGCCAAUCCUCCUGCCACCCCCCCGAGGUGCCGGGGGGGCACCCCCAGAGCCCCGGACCCCUCGUGCUGGGGGGGCCCAGCCGCGUUUGGGGGUCACCCCGGGUUUCCAGGGAAAUGCCAUUCCCACCGAACAACCCCCCAAAUGUCUUUUGGCCUCUUUUCCGAGGCCUCCAGGAGUGGGAGCCGGGGUCAAGGAGGCGAAAAGGGGGGGGGGGGUGAGGGGGUGAGAGGAUGGAUUCUUUUGUCCCGGACGCUGGAUGCUCCCACAUUUAUCACCAUGGAAACAAAAGCCACCACGUCCCCCCCCCCGGCGUUGUCCGGGAGAUGGGAACGGCGCCGGGAGCGCGUCCCGGCAUUCCCGGCGAGCGCUGGGGGAAGGGGCCGGGAGAGAAAAGACCCCCCUGUGCCCCCCCCUCACACCCCCCCCCCCCUUUCCCGGGCUUUGUUUGCGGGCAGGGAUCGGGUUUCUGCCGGGAACAAUGCCCGGAGCCGCCUCCGCCCGGCUCCGGCCCCAGUGACACCACAGGGAAAAGGGGAUGGUUUGGCCGGCAGAGCCGGGAAAAGCCGGUUGAGCAGCACGGGGCACUCCGCUGGAGAGGCGGGGAAGGGAUUCCUGGUGUCUCCAGGAGGAGCAGCUUCGCCUCCCCGGGCCCGGGGAGCCGCCGAGGGAGCGCCGGGAGCCGGAGCCGGAUGCAAACGAGGAGGAGAACUCCCACUUCUAACAGCCGGGUGAUUGUGGAGCGUCGGAACAAACCCUGCCCGGGGGGAGCCGAGGGUUUUUCGCCCUCUCCCGACGUCUCUCAAGCCCGGGCUGGAUGAUGGUUCCUGGGGAUGGGGCCGGUUCAAAGCUCGGAAAAGCCGCUGCCUUUGAGUCCCCGACCUCAAACACCCUCUGGCUUUUUGUAUUCAGAUGCUCUUCCCCCCCCCAAAAAAAAAAUAUAAAAUAAUAAAAAAAUAGAUCCAAGCGUU